GCCCGCUUGGCUCAGCGGUAGAGCGCCUCACUAGUAAGAUGUCCAACAAUAUGGAUACGAACUGGAGAUAUGAGGAGGCGACUGGUUCGACUCCAGUAGUGGGCA